GGGCGGAUGUACCCAAGGGGAUCAGGGCAGGGGAUUGGAAACAC
rnacentral:tRNA from 1 species